rnacentral:rRNA from 1 species
UACGUAGGGCGCAAGCGUUAUCCGGAAUGAUUGGGCGUAAAGCGUCCGCAGGUGGCUGUGUAAGUCUGCUGUCAAAGAGCGAAGCUCAACUUCGUAAAGGCAGUGGAAACUACACGGCUAGAGUGCGUUCGGGGCAGAGGGAAUUCCUGGUGUAGCGGUGAAAUGCGUAGAGAUCAGGAAGAACACCGGUGGCGAAGGCGCUCUGCUAGGCCGCAACUGACACUGAGGGACGAAAGCUAGGGGAGCGAAUGGG